rnacentral:rRNA from 1 species
AUGGUACCUUAUCCCCGUUUGGGAUCGUUUUGCCACGACGGUGGCCGUUGGUAUCUUUGGUAA